rnacentral:snRNA from 1 species
GCUUGCUUUGGCAACACAUUUACUAAAAUUGGAACUAUACAGGGAAGAUUAGCAUGGCCCCUACACAAGGAUAACACACAAAUUUGUGAACUUUUCCAUAUAUUU